AGUGAACGCUGGCGGUAGGCCUAACACAUGCAAGUCGAACGGCAGCACAGUAAGAGCUUGCUCUUACGGGUGGCGAGUGGCGGACGGGUGAGGAAUACAUCGGAAUCUACUUUUUCGUGGUGGAUAACGUAGGGAAACUUACGCUAAUACCGCAUACGACCUACGGGUGAAAGCAGGGGAUCUUCGGACCUUGCGCGAUUGAAUGAGCCGAUGUCGGAUUAGCUCGUUGGCGGGGUAAAGGCCCACCAAGGCGACGAUCCGUAUCUGGUCUGAGAGAAGGAUCACCCAAACUGAAACUGAGAAAGGGCCCAGACUCGAAGGGAAGGAGCAAGUGGGAAAAAUUGAAAAAGGGGGGAAGGCUGAACCAGGCAAUACCGGUUGGGUAAGAAGGGCUUCGGGUUGUAAAGCCCUUUUGUUGGGAAAGAAAAGCAGCAGGUUAAUACCCCGCUGUUCUGACGGUACCCAAAGAAUAAGCACCGGCUAACUUCGUG
rnacentral:rRNA from 1 species